GUGCCACCAGCCGCGGUAAUACGUAGGGAGCGAGCGUUGUCCGGAAUUACUGGGCGUAAAGGGUGCGUAGGCGGCUGUGUAAGUCAGAUGUGAAAUACCGGGGCUUUAACCUCGGGGCUGCAUCUGAUACUGCAUAGCUUGAGUGCAGGAGAGGAAAGCGGAAUUCCUAGUGUAGCGGUGAAAUGCGUAAAUAUUAGGAGGAACACCAGUGGCGAAGGCGGCUUUCUGGACUGUAACUGACGCUGAGGCACGAAAGCGUGGGGAGCAAACAGGAUUACAUACCCUGGUACUCCACGCCGUAAACGAUGGAUACUAGGUGUAGGGGUCAAAAGGCCUCUGUGCCGGAACAAACGCAUUAAGUAUCCCGCCUGGGGAGUACGGCCGCAAGGCUGAAACUCAAAGGAAUUGACGGGGGCCCGCACAAGCAGCGGAGCAUGUGGUUUAAUUCGAAGCAACGCAAAGAACCUUACCAAGGCUUGACAUCCUCUGACGAACAUAGAGAUAUGUUUUUCCUACGGAAAAGAGAGACAGGUGGUGCAUGGUUGUCGUCAGCUCGUGUCGUGAGAUGUUGGGUUAACUCCCGCAACGAGCGCACCCUCUUGUCGUUAGUUGCCAGCGGGUAAAGCCGGGUAAUUUUAAUGAGACUGCCGGGGGACAACUCGGGAGGGAGGGUGGGGGACGACGUCAAAU
rnacentral:rRNA from 1 species